rnacentral:rRNA from 1 species
CCUACGGGAGGCAGCAGUGAGGAAUAUUGGUCAAUGGGCGCGAGCCUGAACCAGCCAAGUCGCGUGAGGGAAGACGGUCCUAUGGAUUGUAAACCUUUUUUGUCGGGGAGCAAAAGCCGCCACGUGAGGCGUUCCGAGAGUACCCGAAGAAAAAGCAUCGGCUAACUCCGCGCCAGCAGCCGCGGUACUACGGAGGAUGCGAGCGUUAUCCGGAUUUAUUGGGUUAAAAGGGUGAGCAGGCGGAAGAGCAAGUCAGCGGUAAAAUUGAGGGGUUCACCCUCUUCGAGCCGUUGAAACUGGUUGUCUUGAGUGAGCGAGAAGUAUGCGGAAUGCGUGGUGUAGCGGUGAAAUGCAUAGAUAUCACGCAGAACUCCGGUGGCGAAGGCAGCAUACCGGCGCUCAACUGACGCUCAUGCACGAAAGUGUGGGUAUCGAACAGGAUUAGAUACCCCUGUAGUC